AGUAACACGUAUCCAGCCUACCUCAUACUCGGGGAUAGCCUUUCGAAAGAAAGAUUAAUAUCCGAUAGCAUAUAUUUCCCGCAUGGGUUUUAUAUUAAAGAAAUUCGGUAUGAGAUGGGGAUGCGUUCCAUUAGUUUGUUGGGGGGGUAACGGCCCACCAAGACUACGAUGGAUAGGGGUUCUGAGAGGAAGGUCCCCCACAUUGGAACUGAGACACGGUCCAAACUCCUACGGGAGGCAGCAGUGAGGAAUAUUGGUCAAUGGACGCGAGUCUGAACCAGCCAAGUAGCGUGAAGGAUGACUGCCCUAUGGGUUGUAAACUUCUUUUAUAUGGGAAUAAAGUGGUCCACGUGUGGACUUUUGUAUGUACCAUAUGAAUAAGGAUCGGCUAACUCCGUGCCAGCAGCCGCGGUAAUACGGAGGAUCCGAGCGUUAUCCGGAUUUAUUGGGUUUAAAGGGAGCGUAGGCGGAUUGUUAAGUCAGUUGUGAAAGUUUGCGGCUCAACCGUAAAAUUGCAGUUGAUACUGGCAGUCUUGAGUGCAGUAGAGGUGGGCGGAAUUCGUGGUGUAGCGGUGAAAUGCUUAGAUAUCACGAAGAACUCCGAUUGCGAAGGCAGCUCACUGG
rnacentral:rRNA from 1 species